UGUUCUAACGUGGACCCGUAAUCCGGGUUGCGGACAGUGUCUGGUGGGUAGUUUGACUGGGGCGGUCUCCUCCUAAAGAGUAACGGAGGAGCACGAAGGUUGGCUAAUCCUGGUCGGACAUCAGGAGGUUAGUGCAAUGGCAUAAGCCAGCUUGACUGCGAGCGUGACGGCGCGAGCAGGUGCGAAAGCAGGUCAUAGUGAUCCGGUGGUUCUGAAUGGAAGGGCCAUCGCUCAACGGAUAAAAGGUACUCCGGGGAUAACAGGCUGAUACCGCCCAAGAGUUCAUAUCGACGGCGGUGUUUGGCACCUCGAUGUCGGCUCAUCACAUCCUGGGGCUGAAGUAGGUCCCAAGGGUAUGGCUGUUCGCCAUUUAAAGUGGUACGCGAGCUGGGUUUAGAACGUCGUGAGACAGUUCGGUCCCUAUCUGCCGUGGGCGCUGGAGAACUGAGGGGGGCUGCUCCUAGUACGAGAGGACCGGAGUGGACGCAUCACUGGUGUUCGGGUUGUCAUGCCAAUGGCACUGCCCGGUAGCUAAAUGCGGAAGAGAUAAGUGCUGAAAGCAUCUAAGCACGAAACUUGCCCCGAGAUGAGUUCUCCCUGAGACUUAGAGUCUCCUGAAGGAACGUUGAAGACGACGACGUUGAUAGGCCGGGUGUGUAAGCGCA
rnacentral:rRNA from 1 species